rnacentral:lncRNA from 1 species
GGAGACUAACGAAUUUGGUUGAAUUGGAUCUAUCCUCCAAUAAUCUUGUUGGUCCAAUACCAUCUUCUGUCAGCAACUUAACUAAUCUUACCUCGUUGUUCCUUCAACUCAACCAACUUAAUGGAUCCAUUCCACAAGAUAUUGGGAGACUAACGAAUUUGGUUGAAUUGGAUCUAUCCUCCAAUAAUCUUGUUGGUCCAAUACCAUCUUCUGUCAGCAACUUAACUAAUCUUACCUCGUUGAUCCUUCAACUCAACCAACUUAAUGGAUCCAUUCCAGAAGAUAUUGGGAGACUAACGAAUUUGGUUGAAUUGGAUCUAUCCUCCAAUAGUCUUGUUGGUCCAAUACCAUCUUCUGUCAGCAACUUAACUAAUCUUACCUCGUUGAUCCUUCAACUCAACCAACUUAAUGGAUCCAUUCCAGAAGAUAUUGGGAGAUUAACGAAUUUGGUUAAUUUGGAUCUAUCCUCCAAUAGGCUUUCAGGUCCCUCUCUCAGCCAGUUAAAUACAUCGGUUGCUCUCUACGA